ACGUCCACGGAUGGACGUGGUUCUGCUCAGCAACGAGUUUGACAUCUCGUCAAACUCGUUAUCAGGUGCUGUACACGGAUGUAUAGCACCUGAUAGGG
rnacentral:sRNA from 1 species